rnacentral:tRNA from 2 species
GCAUUCUUAGCUCAGUUGGAUGGAGCAACAACCUUCUAAGUUGAAGAUCACAGGUUCGAGUCCUGUAGGAUGCA